AACUCCAGGUGGAAUUGUCAAGUGUUGACAGUCUAUUGGUUAUUGUUGCUAUUUGUGGUAUUGGUUUGAAUUUUGGUUAAGCUUAUAGUGAGUUCCUUGUUUUCAAAUACAUUGGUUUCAUUUUAAAGGAUUUAACUUUGGAUUUUACUCUGGUUGGGUCGGGUUAGACUUGUGUCGCCCGACAUGUUGUGUUAAGCAUAUAGUUGAUAUAUGGCUAACACACUACUCUGGGAUAUGUUGGAUUUCGAAAAGGUGUUAUUGAAUUAUAUUACUCUGGAUUGUUUUUUGAAAACGAGAACUCACCUAAACUUAACUAGUUAUUGUAUUGGUUGGAUAUGUAUGUACUUUGGCUUUGGGAUUACUGUGUUUCGAAUGUUGAUCUUUGGUUGUGUUAAGAUGCUAGUCCUAUAUGGUGUCUAGUAAUCUUAGAGUUAGGGGUUGUUCAGAUUUUAACAUAUACAUUGUUUUAGACCCGUCGACUGCUCGUGCUUCGGAGUCUACGCAGGGUUAGCUGUUUGCCAAGAUUUACGUGGAUAAGCAAGCAGUUUAUGAUUUGAAAGCUGGUCCACUCCGAUUCUUUUGAUUCUUCGGAGGUUUUUAUGUUAUUUAACUAGUUACUGUUUUCGAACUCUUUGACCGCAGUAGAACUAGUUUAUUUAUUACAUCUGAUAUUACACUUUGGAAUUGUCGAUAUAUUCGAUUAUUUAUAUUUGGCAUGAUUACUCCGGAUUACGAUAUUGUUAUAUAUAAGGCAUGUUGUUGAACA